CCUGCAGUACCUAAAUUUCUCUACAAUAAUUGGAGUUGGUGUUGGAGCUGGAGCCUACAUCCUGGCGAGAUAUGCUCUUAACCACCCGGACACUGUUGAAGGUCUUGUCCUCAUCAACAUUGAUCCCAAUGCCAAGGGUUGGAUGGAUUGGGCAGCCCACAAGCUAACAGGCCUCACCUCUUCCAUUCCGGAGAUGAUCCUUGGACAUCUUUUCAGCCAGGAAGAGCUCUCUGGAAAUUCUGAGUUGAUACAAAAGUACAGAAAUAUCAUUACACAUGCACCCAACCUGGAUAACAUUGAAUUGUACUGGAACAGCUACAACAAGUGGGUGGGCUGUGUGUGUGUGCAUCCGCCGAGACCUGAACUUUGAGCGUGGAGGUGAUAUCACCCUCAAGUGUCCUGUGAUGCUG
rnacentral:sRNA from 1 species